CUCAACAGGAAAACAGCAAAAGGUGAAUUUUUUUCAAUGGCCUUCACGUUAAUCAAUCGAUCGUAUUUUUGCUUGAUUUUGUUCAUUUCUAUGAUCCUGCUUUCAGGUUUAUCAAGUGGUGAGUAUGGCGUCAUGGAUAUAAAAUGUCAGGAUGGUAAUUGUGCGUCUGAUGGACAAUGCAAUUCAGACUGUCUUAAAAAGGGAUUUAAGAAAGGUGGUGUUUGUAGAAUAAUUUUUCCUAGUUCUAAUAAAUGUUGUUGUACUAUAGGAUGAUUUAUUUUGUCCUUUAAGAAAACUAAAUGAAUAAAAGGAAUACCUAAUGUAUGUUUCGAUUUAAGAUUUUGUAAGAAUAUAUAUUGGGUAAAAUAAAGUAAUCAUUCAAAUUGAUUAAUAUAA